UACGUAGGGUGCAAGCGUUUGUCCGGAAUUAUUGGGCGUAAAGAGCUCGUAGGCGGUCUGUUGCGUCGGCUGUGAAAACCCGGGGCUCAACUCCGAGCUUGCAGUCGAUACGGGCAGGCUAGAGUUCGGCAGGGGAGACUGGAAUUCCUGGUGUAGCGGUGAAAUGCGCAGAUAUCAGGAGGAACACCGGUGGCGAAGGCGGGUCUCUGGGCCGAUACUGACGCUGAGGAGCGAAAGCGUGGGGAGCGAACAGG
rnacentral:rRNA from 1 species